rnacentral:rRNA from 1 species
AGUGAACGCUGGCGGUAGGCCUAACACAUGCAAGUCGAACGGCAGCACAGUAAGAGCUUGCUCUUACGGGUGGCGAGUGGCGGACGGGUGAGGAAUACAUCGGAAUCUACUUUUUCGUGGGGGAUAACGUAGGGAAACUUACGCUAAUACCGCAUACGACCUAUGGGUGAAAGCAGGGGAUCUUCGGACCUUGCGCGAUUGAAUGAGCCGAUGUCGGAUUAGCUAGUUGGCGGGGUAAAGGCCCACCAAGGCGACGAUCCGUAGCUGGUCUGAGAGGAUGAUCGGCCACACUGGAACUGAGACACGGUCCAGACUCCUACGGGAGGCAGCAGUGGGGAAUAUUGGACAAUGGGCGAAAGCCUGAUCCAGCCAUACCGCGUGGGUGAAGAAGGCCUUCGGGUUGUAAAGCCCUUUUGUUGGGAAAGAAAAGCAGCAGGUUAAUACCCCGCUGUUCUGACGGUACCCAAAGAAUAAGCACCGGCUAACUUCGUG